CAAGUACGCGGUCUUACAAAUGU
rnacentral:siRNA from 1 species